GGGCGCUUAGCUCAGUUGGUCAGAGCAACCCGUUUACACCGGGUAGGUCGGGGGUUCGAAUCCUCCAGCGCCCACCA
rnacentral:tRNA from 2 species